UACAGAGGUGGCAAGCGUUGUUCGGAAUCACUGGGCGUAAAGGGCGCGUAGGCGGCUCGGUAAGUAGGGGGUGAAAUCCUGCGGCUUAACCGCAGGGCUGCCUUCUAAACUGUCGAGCUCGAGCACGGUAGAGGCAGAUGGAAUUCCCGGUGUAGCGGUGGAAUGCGUAGAGAUCGGGAAGAACAUCAGUGGCGAAGGCGGUCUGCUGGGCCGUUGCUGACGCUGAGGCGCGACAGCGUGGGGAGCAAACAGG
rnacentral:rRNA from 1 species